AUCCAGUUGACGAGUCCCAAAUAGGACGAUACGCGCUUCCUGGAU
rfam:Schistosoma mansoni, Puerto Rico, WGS project CABG01000000 data, contig: 0171